GAAAUGCGAUAAGUAAUGUGAAUUGCAGAAUUCAGUGAAUCAUCGAAUCUUUGAACGCACCUUGCGCUCCUUGGUAUUCCGAGGAGCAUGCCUGUUUGAGUGUCAUGGAAUUCUCAACUCUAUUUGCUUUUGUGAAUAGAGCUUGGAUUUGGAGGUUUAUUGCUGGUACUUGUGAUCGGCUCCUCUUGAAUGCAUUAGCUCGAACCUUUGCGGAUCAGCUAUCGGUGUGAUAAUUGUCUACGCCGUUGCAGUGAAGCAUAUCAAUGGGCUCGGCUUCCAAUCGUCCUUUACUGGACAAUGACUUUGACCUUUGACCUCAAAUCAGGUAGGAUUACCCGCUGAACUUAAGC
rnacentral:misc_RNA from 1 species